rnacentral:rRNA from 1 species
AGUGAACGCUGGCGGUAGGCCUAACACAUGCAAGUCGAACGGCAGCACAGUAAGAGCUUGCUCUUACGGGUGGCGAGUGGCGGACGGGUGAGGAAUACAUCGGAAUCUACUUUUUCGUGGGGGAUAACGUAGGGAAACUUACGCUAAUACCGCAUACGACCUACGGGUGAAAGCAGGGGAUCUUCGGACCUUGCGCGAUUGAAUGAGCCGAUGUCGGAUUAGCUAGUUGGCGGGGUAAAGGCCCUCCAAGGCGACGAUCCGUAGCUGGUCUGAGAGGAUGAUCAGCCACACUGGAACUGAGACACGGUCCAGACUCCUACGGGAGGCAGCAGUGGGGAAUAUUGGACAAUGGGCGCAAGCCUGAUCCAGCCAUACCGCGUGGGUGAAGAAGGCCUUCGGGCUGUAAAGCCCUUUUGUUGGGAAAGAAAAGCAGCAGGUUAAUACCCCGCUGUUCUGACGGUACCCAAAGAAUAAGCACCGGCUAACUUCGUG